UUAAGGGCGCACGGUGGAUGCCUUGGCACCAGGAACCGAUGAAGGACGUGGGAGGCCGCGAUAGGCCCCGGGGAGCUGUCAACCGAGCUUUGAUCCGGGGGUGUCCGAAUGGGGAAACCCGGCAGUCGUCAUGGGCUGUCACCCGCUGCUGAACACAUAGGCAGUGUGGAGGGAACGCGGGGAAGUGAAACAUCUCAGUACCCGCAGGAAGAGAAAACAACCGUGAUUCCGGGAGUAGUGGCGAGCGAAACCGGAUGAGGCCAAACCGUAUGUGUGUGAUACCCGGCAGGGGUUGCGCAUGCGGGGUUGUGGGAUCUCUUUUUCAUGGUCUGCCGGCCAUGAGACGAGUCAGAAACCGUAUGGAUAGGCGAAGGACAUGCGAAAGGUCCGGCGUAGAGGGUAAGACCCCCGUAGCUGAAAUCUGUACGGCUCGUUUAAGAGACACCCAAGUAGCACGGGGCCCGAGAAAUCCCGUGUGAAUCUGGCGGGACCACCCGUUAAGCCUAAAUAUUCCCUGGUGACCGAUAGCGGAUAGUACCGUGAGGGAAUGGUGAAAAGUACCGCGGGAGCGGAGUGAAAUAGUACCUGAAACCGUGUGCCUACAAGCCGUGGGAGCGUCGCGCAUCGAGCUUGCUCGGUGCGUCGUGACUGCGUGCCUUUUGAAGAAUGAGCCUGCGAGUUUGCGGUGUGUUGCGAGGUUAACCCGUGUGGGGAAGCCGUAGCGAAAGCGAGUCCGAAUAGGGCGAUUGAGUAGCGCGCCCAAGACCCGAAGCGGAGUGAUCUAGCCAUGGGCAGGUUGAAGCGGAGGUAAGACUUCGUGGAGGACCGAACCCACCAGGGUUGAAAACCUGGGGGAUGACCUGUGGUUAGGGGUGAAAGGCCAAUCAAACUCCGUGAUAGCUGGUUCUCCCCGAAAUGCAUUUAGGUGCAGCGUCGUGUGUUUCUUGCCGGAGGUAGAGCACUGGAUAGGCGAUGGGCCCUACCGGGUUACUGACCUUAGCCAAACUCCGAAUGCCGGUAAGUGAGAGCGCGGCAGUGAGACUGUGGGGGAUAAGCUCCAUGGUCGAGAGGGAAACAGCCCAGAGCAUCGACUAAGGCCCCUAAGCGUACGCUAAGUGGGAAAGGAUGUGGAGUCGCAGAGACAACCAGGAGGUUGGCUUAGAAGCAGCCACCCUUGAAAGAGUGCGUAAUAGCUCACUGGUCAAGUGAUUCCGCGCCGACAAUGUAGCGGGGCUCAAGCGUACCGCCGAAGUCGUGUCAUUCCAGCAUGAGGGCCAACGCCCGCUGGGAUGGGUAGGGGAGCGUCGUGUGCCGGGUGAAGCAGCCGCGGAAGCGAGUUGUGGACGGUUCACGAGUGAGAAUGCAGGCAUGAGUAGCGAUACACACGUGGGAAACGUGUGCGCCGAUUGACUAAGGGUUCCUGGGUCAAGCUGAUCUGCCCAGGGUAAGUCGGGACCUAAGGCGAGGCCGACAGGCGUAGUCGAUGGACAACCGGUUGAUAUUCCGGUACCCGCUUUGAAACGCCCAAUAUCGAAUCCAUUAAUGCUAAGGCCGUGAAGCCGCCCUGGACCCUUCGGGGAAAGGGGAGUGGUGGAGCCGCUGACCCAAGGUGGUAGUAGGUAAGCGAUGGGGUGACGCAGGAAGGUAGUCCAGCCCGGGCGGUGGUAGUCCCGGGGUAAGGGUGUAGGCCGUGUGGUAGGCAAAUCCGUCACACAUUAAGGCUGAGACCUGAUGCCGAGCCGAUUGUGGUGAAGUGGAUGAUCCUAUGCUGUCGAGAAAAGCCUCUAGCGAGUUUCAUGGCGGCCCGUACCCUAAACCGACUCAGGUGGUCAGGUAGAGAAUACCGAGGCGUUCGGGUGAACUAUGGUUAAGGAACUCGGCAAAAUGCCCCCGUAACUUCGGGAGAAGGGGGGCCAUUUCCGGUGAUGAGUCUUGCACUCUGAGCUGGGGGUGGCCGCAGAGACCAGCGAGAAGCGACUGUUUACUAAAAACACAGGUCCGUGCGAAGCCGUAAGGCGAUGUAUACGGACUGACGCCUGCCCGGUGCUGGAACGUUAAGGGGACCGGUUAGCUCCAUUUCGGUGGGGCGAAGCUGAGAACUUAAGCGCCAGUAAACGGCGGUGGUAACUAUAACCAUCCUAAGGUAGCGAAAUUCCUUGUCGGGUAAGUUCCGACCUGCACGAAUGGCGUAACGACUUCUCGACUGUCUCAACCAUAGGCCCGGUGAAAUUGCACUACGAGUAAAGAUGCUCGUUUCGCGCAGCAGGACGGAAAGACCCCGGGACCUUUACUAUAGCUUGAUAUUGGUGUUCGGUUCGGCUUGUGUAGGAUAGGUGGGAGACUGUGAAGCGGGCACGCCAGUGUUCGUGGAGUCGUCGUUGAAAUACCACUCUGGUCGUGCUGGAUGUCUAACCUGGGUCCGUGAUCCGGAUCAGGGACAGUGUCUGGUGGGUAGUUUAACUGGGGCGGUUGCCUCCUAAAGAGUAACGGAGGCGCCCAAAGGUUCCCUCAGCCUGGUUGGCAAUCAGGUGUUGAGUGUAAGUGCACAAGGGAGCUUGACUGUGAGACCGACGGGUCGAGCAGGGACGAAAGUCGGGACUAGUGAUCCGGCGGUGGCUUGUGGAAGCGCCGUCGCUCAACGGAUAAAAGGUACCCCGGGGAUAACAGGCUGAUCUUCCCCAAGAGUCCAUAUCGACGGGAUGGUUUGGCACCUCGAUGUCGGCUCGUCGCAUCCUGGGGCUGGAGUCGGUCCCAAGGGUUGGGCUGUUCGCCCAUUAAAGCGGUACGCGAGCUGGGUUUAGAACGUCGUGAGACAGUUCGGUCCCUAUCCGCUGUGCGCGUAGGAAUAUUGAGAAGGGCUGUCCCUAGUACGAGAGGACCGGGACGGACGAACCUCUGGUGUGCCAGUUGUCCUGCCAAGGGCAUGGCUGGUUGGCUACGUUCGGGAGGGAUAACCGCUGAAAGCAUCUAAGCGGGAAGCCUGCUUCGAGAUGAGUAUUCCCACCCCCUUUGAGGGGUUAAGGCUCCCAGUAGACGACUGGGUUGAUAGGCCAGGUGUGGAAGACCGGUAACGGUUGGAGCUGACUGGUACUAAUAGGCCGAGGGCUUGUCCU
rnacentral:rRNA from 1 species